AUUUAAGUAGCUUAAGCUAAAAGUUUAAUAUUGAAGUUAUUAUGAUGAGUAUUACUCCUUAAAUA
rnacentral:tRNA from 1 species